AAUUAGCUGGGCGUGGUGGCAGGCGCCUGUAGUCCCAGCUACUCAGGAGGCUGAGGCAGGAGAAUGGUGUGAACCUGGGAGCUUGCAGUGAGCUGAGAUCGCGCCACUGCACUCCAGCCUGGGUGACAAAGCGAGACUCCAUCUCAAAAAAAAAGAAAAAAAAAAGAAGCCAAAGACCAAGACUGAAGACCCUAUUGGUUCUCCCCAUAGAGUAGAGAAGCCUCAUGCUUCUCAGGACAGUAAGGCUACGGCUUCAUGGCGGAAGGGUAAGUAAUAGGUUUCACCCUAUCUAGAGUAGAGUAGUACUCAUGCAUCUCUGGAUCUCCACCAGGCCCUGGCCAGCCUGAGGGAGAGACUAGAUCACCAGUUCACCAGCACCACAGUUCCCCAGGUGGGCAAGGAUCCCUGUGCCAGAGAUUCCAGCAGCUAGAGGACUCCCCCUGCACCUCCAGGAGGUCAUGGAAACCUUAAGCUACAACCACCUUCUCCUCUCCCUCUUUUCCAUUCACCACUUUAGGGGGAAAAACAGAUGGGGAGGGAGAGUGGUGGGAACAGGAAAGGAAGGAGGAAGCCUUCUAGAAGGCUGAGAAUUUGUGCCCAGGAGUAACUGUGACUCAAAGGCACGGUUUACAUGACAAGUUAAGGCUAGGUCCGAAAUCAGAUAGGGCUAAAUGUUAAAUUUUUAAAGGUGUGCAACAGAAAUGAGUUAUCUUGUCAGAUUAGUUAUAGGAAAAGAAGCCACAUCUUACAUUCUAUCUAGCUGUGCUUAUGGACUGUAGCAUGAGUGGAUUUUGCUUCAUUUGCUUCUUGUUUCAUGAAUGGCUAAGUGUGUGUUUAUGUGUGUGUGUGAGAUGUGGUAGGUGUGGUGGGGAAAGGAAUAAAAUAUAGUUUCACUGGGAACAUACUCAGUCACACAUGAGUCCCACUAAAAUGAAAUUGUAGAAAACAUCCCAAAGUAUAAAUGUAUUUGGCAAUUAUAUCAGACAUUUUAGCAUUAAAUAUCUCACUUCUCACUGGUUCCUCAUGGCAGAGUCAAACCAGAGGACCUUAACCAGUGCUUUCCGAACACAGACGCCCACCCCCCAAAAUGUGAUUUGCAAAAGGACCGUAAGGCACACUCUCUACCACCAUCACCAUCUCCAUCAUUACUUGCAGCGAGCAUCUACUAAGCUUACUCUAUGUUAAGUACUCAGCAUUCUCUACUAAAUGCUUUACACGAUCAUAUUCAGUCUUUGCAACAACCAUACUAACAUUAUCCCCAUUUUAAAGAUGAGGGAACUGAGGCUCACAGAUGAAGUAAGUAUUUAAGCCAAGAAUCAGGGUCAUGUAUUAAUAGUUCCAAAGCCUAUGCAUGUUUUUUUCCAUUCUACCAUGCCAUUUUCAAGCUUCUUUUGAAGAUGACACUUUUAGAGAACUUUCUGGUAUCUCUGAAGUUCAAUUUUUGGGCUUUCUGUUCUCUAGGUUCUAUGUCGAUGUGGCUCAGAGCCAGUAGUGUAGGGUACAGGAGAAACCUUCAUCACCUCAUCUUCUCAGGGCCCUACUGCAAGCCAGCAUCUCCCCUUCUUCCUCUCUGCUUCAAGAUCCAUGGAGUGACAAAACCGGUUUCUUACACGGAGGUAAUUUUGUUUUGCCACAUAUAAGUCCCUGCAGAAUGACAAAUAGACAUUUAAUAAAUGCAUAUUGAAUGGAUGAAGGCACUUUGUUUCAAAGGGAUAACCCUGGAGUUGAUUUGACUCAGGAGAAAAUACAGCUCACACAGCUCAUUGGAAUGCUUAUUGUUUUGCCAUUUCCUUGUAGUGGAAAGUCCCAGUCAGUUAUCAAUUAAUAGUAUCAACAACCAUUUUAUCUAGUGCUUAACAGGGGAUGACAUCCAGAGGUAACUUCACAGACAGAGCCUGUUGUGAAACAGGUUGAAUUCUGCCACAUUUUACUACCUUCCUGGUCUCAGACCAAUCACUUAACUCCUGCAAUGCCACAUGUGGAAAAUAUAUUCUGUUAUCAAUGAGUUUACAAGCCUGUGAUACUACGCUCCAGAAGCCAGCAGGAAUGUGAUACUGGUGUAACUGAGCCCCUGGCUUUGCAAGUUUAUACACUUAAGCAUCUCUGAGUGAAAAGCAAUUAUAUAAACACAAAGGAACCAUUAUUAGAGAAAUCAUAUUUAUGUUCCCAUAUUGUAUGUGGUCAGAGGAAAGCAAGACAAGGGCAAGACUUGGGCAAGUGACAAGACGUAUUAGCAGUGGCAGCAACAGUGCUGGGUAAACAGUUGUAAAUCUCAAACGCUGAGCCGUGUUAACAUUUUACAGAAUGCUUUGAUCCUUUUCAGUAAGAUACAAAGCAAGAAUAAAUUCACACAGCCUCCUUGGAGGUCAGUGUGAUUUCUCUGUUUCUGUGGAAAAGCACUAACUAGUCACAUGCUAAUUCACAGUUUGAUGCUCAUCAAACUGGAGCAGAUGGUUAGAGGUAGGGAUGACAUACAAAAAAAAAAAAAAGAAAAAAAGAAAAAAAAAGAAGACUGGUUUCCCCAGAACCUGAAUGGAGAUCCUGCAGCUAAAAGAGGUCACCCAUCUCUCUUUUGGGUGUUCUUUUUAGACAUCCAAAUGCAGACUGGAUGGUGCCUUCCCAGAAGAGCAUGUUGUGGGUCAUCUCUCUGUGGGGAUAACUGGGGAAGGAAGCUUCCUCCCAAAGGACAUGCAGCCAGAGUAUGGUUUUACAGUAGAAUCUAAGAAUAUUAAUAAUUCGUUGAACAUAAAUGACCAAGGAGCUCUAUUUCAGUAAGAAGUUUCCGGGAGAAGUUUCAAACUGUUGUAACUGCCAAGUAUUAAGGGGCAAGAUGCCACUAAUUCCCAGUGGAUUAAAAAUACUGCUAGUUUUUCUCAAGGACAUUUCAAUCUUGGAAAGAGUAUCAGUUUAGAAACACAAAUUAAAUACUAUCUUUGAGAUGAAAUGAAACCUGAAGGAAUUAGACAAUUCACCAAUAAGAAGGACUUUUCUCAAGUAAUCUUUGAACUGUGUGUUCUAGAAAGGACUGUAUGUACUGAGUGGAGGCAGGGGGAUGAGAAGAGGAGCUGAGGAGGAGGAGUCUGAGGAAUGUGGCCUGGGGCUACUCAGAUAAAUUGUUACAAAGGAGGAAUGUGACCUAGGAACCAAUCUCCAUCUCUUGAGGUGUCUGGGCCAAAACAUGUUUUAUGACUUUGAUGAUAGAAAAAAAUCUAUGUAUUUUGACUGCUGAUAUAAUGAAGAUCAAAGCUACACAAUUUGGAUGAAAAGAACCCUACUGUCAUGUUUCAAGUUUUGCAAAAUAAAUGAUGGAAUGAUCUUUAGAUCACAUGGCUGAAUGUGAAGAUUUGAGUACCUCACAAAAAAAGAAUCUUGCAAAUGUAUACAGAGAAAAUUAUGAUAAUGCAAAUAAAGCCCUUUAAUUUAUGUUGCAUGAAAGAAGUUUAAAGUAGGAGUAAGUAAGCAUGAGUCUAUGUUAAUAGAAUAGCCACCAUAAAUAGGAAUAUUUAUCCAUUGUUUACAAAUCCAUAGAAUUAUUAGAUGAAAACUAUACCAUUCUAAAUAUGUAGGACUCUUUAUCAUCCACUUACAAAAGUAAUGGCUUUAGUAUCUAUUGUUUACUUAUGUCUCUACCAUUCCAGAAAUUGAGUAGAGCAGGUAGCGCAGAGGGAGGGAGAAGCAGCUUCAGAGGUCAAGUCUUAAUAGACAGGCCCUGGACCUUGACCUUUGGACACCCUAACUGGGCCUCUUCUACCAAACCAGACCAUGAGUUGCCCCCAAACCAAUUCUUCUGAAGUAACCAAAUGUAUCAAUGAAUGAAUAUUAAAAUGAAACUUGAACAAGCCUCAAGUGCAAAGGGGACUAAGAAUGGAGUCUGGUAGGGAGAGGCACCCCAAAAUGAGAGUGGUGCAGAAAGAAAAUUAAAACAAUUCUGAAAAUGGGUUUCUUUCAUUUCCGAGUUUUGCUUCUGUCAAUCCUUGGGGACCAGGAGAAUAUGGCAGCACAGGUGCUUGAGAACAGGUUGUGCUGCGAUUUAGAAAACCUAUUGACUUUAGAGAAGUUACAUAGCCUCCCUGGGCUUCUGGAACCUCAUCUGUAAAAGGAAGAGGUUGGAUUCAAAGAUGUCUUUUCUGCUCUAAUAUGUUCUGGUUUCACCAAGCAAGUCUUUGCCUGGCAUCUAGAAAAGAUCCUCAGCCCAAACAAAGCAACAUCAUCCAGAAGGAAAAUGCCCUUCAGGUCUGUUUCAGGACUUCAGUGUUCACCACGAUGGUGAGUGACAGCCUUUCUUGGCCACCAGCUGUCUGGAGCGACCCAGAGGAGUGGCAGGCAUUGCCCUCAGCGGGGCAAGUGAGGAGGAGCUGCAGAGGCAGAGGAGAGACAGCAGGGUGGAAAGUGACUCAGGAAUGAGACUGCUCUCCCCAUUCGACUCUCAGUCCAAAAAACCACACUCCUAUUGUGAAAAUUAGACCUUUGAGCAGCGUUCCAUGUGUUUAUUCUACUUGUAUCAAAGAGGCUUUCAUCUCCCUAGAGCAAAUUAUUAACACAUUCCACCAAAGUUGUGAGGGUGGAGGCCUGGCCUUGGAGAAAAAAUAAUCACCAUCAUAAUAAAGAGUUGCCCGAAACGUGAACUUAAGAAAAACUAACAUAAAAGCCCCCACUUUUAAUGAUAGUGGUUGGAAAGGCGCCAAGGUCCUUGUGCCCAGGGGAGCAUGGUUGGCUGACUCCUUGUCCGUGGGCUGACCCUUCUGUGUCCAGGAAUUUUCCAUGAGCAGGCCGUAGUGUGGGAGGUGGGGACUUUUGCAGGUUCAGCAGGUUGAGGCACUCACAGCCAGUUGCCCUUAGCCUUAACUGGAGACCAGAUUUUGUUGGCUGAGUGAGCAGUGGCUCUCGAUUCCAGGCAAUAAAUCUUUGCUUCUCAAGAUCAUUUGGUUGGGAAGAGGAGGGAGAAAAAUAGAGAGGAGAGAAAGAGGGAGAGAGAGGAGAGAGAGCGAGAGAGAGAGAGAGAAAGAGAGAGCAAGAACAAGAGCCAACUCUCAGAUACAGCCAAGAGGAGCAACAGAUAUAAAGUAAGCCCAACAAUAUUUCAGUUUCAUGAAUGGAUUAUUCCCUAAAGGGCUGUGAGGAAUAGUUUCUAGAUAGAGAUUAUGCCAUUUUCUAAAGCAAGUUCACUUGAUUUACAGGAAUCCUUCGAUGCUUAGGCACCUCCUUUGAGAUACAGUUAGACUAUAUGAGUAAAGGGCCCAGUCCAAAAGAGAUAAUAGAGAAUACAGGGAAUUAUUUACUGCUGCUGAAAACAGGACCCCGGGUUCAGACUUUGCUUUUGUUUGCUUUUUAAAAAAUGUUUCCAAGUAACUCCAAAAUACAUGAUACCUCAAGUCUCACGUGAUUGUAACAACCAAGAUUCAUGAAUAGCCAUGAAUGUGUUGUUUGUCAUUAACAUCAGUUUUCUCCCUUUGGGGCUAAAGAAGGAGCAGAAAGAACAGAGAAAUCAGAAUGCGAGUGGGACUUGUACUUCAUAAAACAGCCAGAGGAUCCUCCUAUAAAACUGCAUGGGAUUUUUGGCUUUGUCAUCUGGGAAAUUGAGAAUUUGCCUGUGAUGUGAGGAGUGACUGCUGACAUCAGUGGAGAUGGAUGAAUACGUUUUGUAUUACACCAAUAAUUAGAAGGGAUCUCAAAAAUCCCACCAUUUCACCAGUUUCAUACAUAAAUUUUUAAACUUUGGCUAGCAGUGAUGAGUACCAUUUGCUUAGCACUUGACUGCUUCAGAAUGCCUUUCACAACGAUAUCUGUGCUAUUUCUUUUAUAUUUUCAACUUUUAAAAACAUUUUAAUUGAGAUAUAAUUCACAUACCAUAAAAGUCACCAAUUUAAAGUGUACAGUUCCAUGGUUUUUAGUAUAUUUGUGGUGUAACCACAACUACAAUCUAAUUCCAGAACAUUUACAUCACCCCCAAAAGAAAAGCCCUUUCCAUUAACAGUCAUUCCCGAUGCCUGUCCAACCCUCAGCCCUUUCUAGGCAACCGCUAAUCUACUUUCUGUUUCUAUAUAUUUGCCUAUUGUGGACUUUUUAUAUAGAUGGAAUCAUACAGCUGUGGUCUUUUGGGUCUGUCUUUUGCUUAGGAUAAUGUUUUCAAAUUUCAUCCAUAUAGUAGCAUGCAUCAGUCCUUUAUCAUAUUACCCAAUAAUAGUGUGGAUAUAACACAUUUUAUCUAUCCUUUCAUCAGUUGAUAGACAUUUGAGUUGUUUCCACUUUUUUCUUUAAUUUUUAGUUGACACGUAAUAAUUGUACAUAUUUAUGGGAUGCAGAGUAGUAUUUCCAUAUGUGUAUACCAUGUAUAAUAAUUCAGGGGAAUUAGCACAUCCAUCACCUCAAACUUGGAUCAUUUCUUUGUGUUGUGAACAUUAAAAAUCCUCUCUUCUAGCUUUUUGAAAAUGUACAAUAAAUUCUGGUUAACCACAUCCCCCCUGUGAUGCUGCAGAACGCCUGAACUCAUUCCUCUUAUCCAACGGUAAUUCCGUAAUUGUUAAUCAGCAUCUCCCCAUCCUCCCUGCCCCGCCACCCUUCCCCGCCUCUAAUACCCACGAUUGUACUCUACUUUUUCUUAGCUCUCUCAUGCAUGAGAACAUGUGGUAUUUAUCAUUCUGUGCUUCUCUUAUUUUAUUUAACAUCAUGUCCUCUGUGUUGCUGCAAAUGACAGAAUUACAUUUUUUUUGUGGCUGAACAGUAUUCCAUUGUGUAUAUAUAUCACAUUUUCUAUUUAACUUUUAUUUUAGGUUUGAUGGUACAUGUGAAGGUUUGUAAUGUAAAUAAGCUUGUGUCAUGGGGGUUUGUUGUACAGAUUAUUUUAUCACCCAGCUACAAAGGCUAGUACCCAAUAGUUAUUUUUUCUGCCCCUCUCCUUCCUCCCAUCCUCCACCCUCAAGUAGGUCCCAGUGUCUGUUGUUUCCUUCUUUGUGUCCAUGAGUUCUCAUUAUUCAGCAACUACUUACAAGUGAGAACAUGCGGUAUUUGGUUUUCUGUUCCUGCAUUAGUUGAUAAGGAUAAUGGCUUCCAGCUCCAUCCAGGUUCCCACAAAAGACAUUAUCUCAUUUUUUUAUGAUUGCAUAAUAUUCCAUGGUGUAUAUGUACCACAGUCUUUAAAUCCAAUCUGUCAUUGAUGAGCAUUUAGGUUGAUUCCAUGUCUUCACUAUUGUGAAUAGAGCUGCAAUGAACAUACAAGUGCAUGCGUCUUUAUGGUUGAAUGACUUAUAUUCCUCUGGGUAUAUACCCAGUAAUGGGAUUGCUGGGUUGAAAGGUAGUUCUGUUUUCAGCUCUUUGAGGAAUUGCUACAUUGCUUUCCACGAUGACUGAACUAAUUUACACUCCCCCCAACAGUGUUCUUUUGGGUUCUUUUUUCUCCACAACCUGGCCAGCAUCUGUUAUUUUUGGACUAUUUAUUUACUUAUUCAUUUUUGAGACAGAGUUUUAUUCUUGUUUCUCAGGAUGGAGUGCAUUGGCGCAGUCUUGGCU
rnacentral:lncRNA from 1 species